rnacentral:rRNA from 1 species
GACGAACGCUGGCGGCGUGCUUAACACAUGCAAGUCGAACGGAAAGGCCCUGCUUUUGUGGGGUGCUCGAGUGGCGAACGGGUGAGUAACACGUGAGUAACCUGCCCUUGACUUUGGGAUAACUUCAGGAAACUGGGGCUAAUACCGGAUAGGAGCUCCUUCUGCAUGGUGGGGGUUGGAAAGUUUCGGCGGUUGGGGAUGGACUCGCGGCUUAUCAGCUUGUUGGUGGGGUAGUGGCUUACCAAGGCUUUGACGGGUAGCCGGCCUGAGAGGGUGACCGGCCACAUUGGGACUGAGAUACGGCCCAGACUCCUACGGGAGGCAGCAGUGGGGAAUAUUGCACAAUGGGCGGAAGCCUGAUGCAGCAACGCCGCGUGCGGGAUGACGGCCUUCGGGUUGUAAACCGCUUUCACCUGUGACGAAGCGUGAGUGACGGUAAUGGGUAAAGAAGCACCGGCUAACUACGUG